rnacentral:miRNA from 1 species
CUCAAGUAGUCUGACCAGGGGA